rnacentral:rRNA from 1 species
UCGGAUUGAAGGCUGAAAUUACGCCUUCCAUGAAGCUGGAAUUGCUAGUAAUGGCAGGUCAGCAUACUGCCGUGAAUACGUUCCCGGGCCUUGUACACACCGCCCGUCACACCAUGAGAGUUGGCAACACCCGAAGUCGGUAGUCUAACCGCAAGGAGGACGCCGCCGAAGGUGGGGUUAGAUGAUUAGGGUUAAGUCGUAACAAGGUAGC